GAUGAACGCUGGCGGCGUGCCUAAUACAUGCAAGUCGAGCGAACAGACGAGGAGCUUGCUCCUCUGACGUUAGCGGCGGACGGGUGAGUAACACGUGGAUAACCUACCUAUAAGACUGGGAUAACUUCGGGAAACCGGAGCUAAUACCGGAUAAUAUAUUGAACCGCAUGGUUCAAUAGUGAAAGACGGUUUUGCUGUCACUUAUAGAUGGAUCCGCGCCGCAUUAGCUAGUUGGUAAGGUAACGGCUUACCAAGGCAACGAUGCGUAGCCGACCUGAGAGGGGGUUCGGCCACACUGGAACUGAGACACGGUCCAGACUCCUACGGGAGGCAGCAGUGGGGAAUCUGCCGCAAGGGGCGAAAGCCUGAGGGAGCAACGCCGGGGGGGUGAUGAAGGGUUUCGGAUCGUAAAACUCUGUUUUUAGGGAAAAAAAAAUGUGUAAGUAACUAGGCACGUUUUGACGGUACCAAUGAAAAAAGCAACGGCUAACUACGU
rnacentral:rRNA from 1 species